GGCUUAGAGUUUGAUCAUGGCUCAGGAUAAACGCUGGCGGCGCACAUAAGACAUGCAAGUCGAACGAACUUAACCUAUAGUUUACUAUUGGAGCGGUUAGUGGCGGACUGGUGAGUAACGCGUAAGCAAUCUGCCUAUCAGAGGGGAAUAACAGUGAGAAAUCACUGCUAAUACCGCAUAAGCUGUGAGUAUCGCAUGAUACAAGCAGAAAAGGAGCAAUCCGCUGAUAGAUGAGCUUGCGUCUGAUUAGUUAGUUGGCGAGGUAACGGCCCACCAAGACGAUGAUCAGUAGCCGGACUGAGAGGUUGAACGGCCACAUUGGGACUGAGAUACGGCCCAGACUCCUACGGGAGGCAGCAGUCGGGAAUAUCGCGCAAUGGAGGAAACUCUGACGCAGUGACGCCGCGUGCAGGAAGUAGGUUUUCGGAUUGUAAACUGCUUUAGACAGGGAAGAAGAAGUGACAGUACCUGUAGAAUAAGCUCCGGCUAACUACGUGCCAGCAGCCGCGGUAAUACGUAGGGAGCGAGCGUUAUCCGGAUUUAUUGGGUGUAAAGGGUGCGUAGAUGGAUAUGCAAGUUGGUUGUGAAAUACCUCGGCUUAACUGAGGAACUGCAACCAAAACUGUAAAUCUUGAGUACUGGAGGGGAAAGCG
rnacentral:rRNA from 1 species